rnacentral:tmRNA from 1 species
GGGGGUGAUUGGUCUCGACACCGGACGUUGAGACAGGGGAAGCGGGCCGAGAAAGGCAACGAUGAUCUCGUAAACCAUGCGUUGCAACCAAUUAAGCGCCGACUCUGAUCAGCGCGCGUACGCCCUCGCCGCCUGAGGCUAGGGAUACGCUGUCAGCCCGGUAACGCCUUCGGACCGGAUCCUGGCAUCAGCUAGAAGGCUUACUUACCAGCCCGGCCAUCGGGGCUGGCAAGGAAAUCUCACAGUGGCUGGGCUCGUCACAUCGGCUUGUUCGCGUGACCGAUGGGGCCAAGUAGAGACAUAGCGAACUGCGCCCGGAGAAGACCUGUUGAGGCGACGGUGGACGCGGGUUCGAUUCCCGCCACCUCCACGG